CGUAAACAAAGGGAGGCGAAGCCGCGAGGCCGAGCGAAUCCCAAAAAUAACGUCCCAGUUCGGAUUGCAGUCUGCAACUCGACUGCAUGAAGCUGGAAUCGCUAGUAAUCGCGAAUCAGAAUGUCGCGGUGAAUACGUUCCCGGGUCUUGUACACACCGCCCGUCACACCAUGGGAGUUGGUAACGCCCGAAGUCAGUGACCCAACCGGAAGGAGGGAGCUGCCGAAGGCGGGACCGGUAACUGGGGUGAAGUCGUAACAAGGUAGC
rnacentral:rRNA from 1 species